ACUCCUACGGGGAGGCAGCAGUGGGGAAUAUUGCACAAUGGGCGCAAGCCUGAUGCAGCCAUGCCGCGUGUAUGAAGAAGGCCUUCGGGUUGUAAAGUACUUUCAGCAGUGAGGAAGGUGGGUAUGUUAAUAGCAUACUCAUUUGACGUUAGCUGCAGAAGAAGCACCGGCUAACUCCGUGCCAGCAGCCGCGGUAAUACGGAGGGUGCGAGCGUUAAUCGGAAUUACUGGGCGUAAAGCGCAUGCAGGUGGUUUGUUAAGUCAGAUGUGAAAGCCCGGGGCUCAACCUCGGAAUUGCAUUUGAAACUGGCAAACUAGAGUACUGUAGAGGGGGGUAGAAUUUCAGGUGUAGCGGUGAAAUGCGUAGAGAUCUGAAGGAAUACCGGUGGCGAAGGCGGCCCCCUGGACAGAUACUGACACUCAGAUGCGAAAGCGUGGGGAGCAAACAGGAUUAGAUACCCUGGUAGCUACGAG
rnacentral:rRNA from 1 species